rnacentral:piRNA from 1 species
GUGCAGCUAAUGGUCGUCGUCGGCAUC